CUGCCUUCCACAGGCGUUUCUCCGCAGUGAGGGGAGCAGACAGACGCGUUCAUCGCCGAGAUGGCAGCAUCUCACAGACCUCAAACUUUGAAAACUCUCCCUCUUCUCCGGACAGGACGUCGUGUGGAUUGAGGCUUCUCAGUCCACUGCCGACUCCCAGCCGUGCUCGUGUCCAUUAAGGUCAGGGUUUUUCAGCGGGCAGCAGCAGGACAUGUAGUAUUUAUUCAUCCACCCGGUCAUCUUCUGAGUGUAGCAUCUGUACGCUGGGACUGACUCUGCACUGUCCCGGUCGCGCUGAUCGCCUGACAGGCAGGCUGCCGCUACCGAAAACCAGAAGAGUCCCAAGGGCUUGAGUUCCUGAGUUCUUCAACAUCAAGCAGGAGCACAGGCCUGCAGAAGACAAAGCACCUCUGCGUCUGUCGUCCCGGUUGAAGAACACGGCAGACUGUGUUUGUUCUACGGUCUGACGAGCGGCCCUUAGCGUUGAUUAACGACUGCCGACGGGUAACAGAAAGCAGCUGGCCCCACCAGCUCAACCGCAGUCUCGUUCCUCCUGAACCCUCUCGCGUUACAACUUCUUUGAAAAAGGGUUUAUACUAAACCGGACCCAAAGGUUGAAAGUAUGGUUUUAACCUUUGAUACCACUUCCAGGUUCAUAAACCAUCGCCAACCGAAAGGGUUAUUCAUUGUUACACUGACGCAGACAAUGUCAUCCAAAUUUGUCUAACCUUCGGUAGGUACUGCAAACAUUGAAUUGGUUUAAUCUUUGGCAUUUGCCGUAGACAAAGAUUAGUAGACACGCACACACGUCACUGUGAACAAACAUUAGCAGCCCACACCUAACCAUAUAGAGCCACACAGGUGUCUGAAUAUGCUCCACUCCACCUCUGAGGUUGAUGGGAUGUGUGAGCUGCUAGCUGGUGGACCAGUGUUUCCUCUGACUCAUGUUGACAGUGGAACACAAUGGGCUCCAUUUAAUUGGCUGUCAUAAACACACAUCGCCACCGACCGUCGAAGCCUCCUCUACAACACCUCCAGUGUGCGGAUCACAGGAAGUACUUGUGUGUGCUUGUGUCUGCCGCGUUGUCAGAGACGAUUAGGGCCAGACGUGUCCUGGGCGUCAUCGCGUCACCGCGGCGGACCCUGACGUGAUGGAAUAAAAGCGGACCUGCUCCGGGGGAGAGGUAUCAAGCCCACCUAGCCUCGACCAGAGAGAGGUGGAGGACGGAGAACCGGGGAGAGGAAGUCCGGGAGAGACAGCUCAUCGACGCUCCCUCGGUGCCCUCCAGGACUUUAGACCAACUCAGUGACUGACUUCCACAAGGUAUCAACCACCGCCACCUCCACCACCACCUCCAACCGUUAACAACCCCACCCCACCCCAACUCAGAGCCCCUCCCCCC
ensembl:lncRNA